rnacentral:rRNA from 1 species
CAAGUCGAGCGAUGAAGUUUCUUCGGACAUGGAUUAGCGGCGAACGGGUGAGGAACACGUGAAGAAUCUGCCCUCCACUUUGGGAUAACACCGGGAAACCGGUGCUAAUACCGAAUAUUGAAACAUAAGUGGCAUCACUGAGUUUUGAAAGAAUUUCGGUGGAGGAUGACUUCGCGGCCUAUCAGCUAGUUGGUGAGGUAAUGGCUCACCAAGGCAACGACGGGUAGCCGGCCUGAGAGGGCGACCGGCCACACUGGGACUGAGACACGGCCCAGACUCCUACGGGAGGCAGCAGUGGGGAAUAUUGGGCAAUGGAGGAAACUCUGACCCAGCGACGCCGCGUGCGGGAUGAAGGCCUUCGGGUUGUAAACCGCUUUCAGUAGGGAAGAAGCGAAAGUGACGGUACCUACAAAAGAAGCACCGGCUAACUAUGUGCCAGCAGCCGCGGUAAUACAUAGGGUGCAAGCGUUGUCCGGAAUUAUUGGGCGUAAAGAGCUCGUAGGUCGUUUGUUACGUCGGAUGUGAAAACCUGAGGCUCAACCUCAGGCCUGCAUUCGAUACGGGCAAACUAGAGUUUGGUAGGGGAGACUGGAAUUCCUGGUGUAGCGGUGGAAUGCGCAGAUAUCAGGAGGAACACCAAUGGCGAAGGCAGGUCUCUGGGCCAAUACUGACACUGAGGAGCGAAAGUCUGGGGAGCGAACAGGAUUAGAUACCCUGGUAGUCCAGACCGUAAACGGUGGGCACUAGUUGUGGGAACCUUCCACGGUUUCUGCGACGCAGCUAACGCAUUAAGUGCCCCGCCUGGGGAGUACGAUCGCAAGAUUAAAACUCAAAGGAAUUGACGG